AACGGGUGAGUAACACGUGAGUAACCUGCCCUCAGGAAGGGGAUAACCCUCCGAAAGGGGGGCUAAUACCCUAUAAUGUCAGUCACCACUAAGGUGGCUGACCAAAGGUGGCCUCUGCUCUGCAUGCUACCGCCUGAGGAGGGGCUCGCGGCCCAUCAGGUAGUUGGUGGGGUAACGGCCUACCAAGCCUAUGACGGGUAGCCGGCCUGAGAGGGUGUCCGGCCACAGUGGGACUGAGACACGGCCCACACCCCUACGGGGGGCAGCAGUGGGGAAUCGUGGGCAAUGGGCGAAAGCCUGACCCCGCGACGCCGCGUGGAGGAAGAAGCCCUUCGGGGUGUAAACUCCUGUCAGGGGGGAAGAUGCUCACAGAGGUGAAUAAUCUCUGUGGGUGACGGUACCCCCAGAGGAAGGGACGGCUAACUACGUGCCAGCAGCCGCGG
rnacentral:rRNA from 1 species